GACGAACGCUGGCGGCGCGCCUAACACAUGCAAGUCGAACGAGCGAGAGAGAGCUUGCUUUCUCGAGCGAGUGGCGAACGGGUGAGUAACGCGUGAGGAACCUGCCUCAAAGAGGGGGACAACAGUUGGAAACGACUGCUAAUACCGCAUAAGCCCACGGUGCCGCAUGGCACAGAGGGAAAAGGAGCAAUCCGCUUUGAGAUGGCCUCGCGUCUGAUUAGCUAGUUGGUGAGGUAAUGGCCCACCAAGGCGACGAUCGGUAGCCGGACUGAGAGGUUGAACGGCCACAGUGGGACUGAGACACGGCCCAGACUCCUACGGGAGGCAGCAGUGGGGAAUAUUGCACAAUGGGGGAAACCCUGAUGCAGCGACGCCGCGUGGAGGAAGAAGGUCUUCGGAUUGUAAACUCCUGUUGUUGGGGAAGAUAAUGACGGUACCCAACAAGGAAGUGACGGCUAACUACGUG
rnacentral:rRNA from 1 species